GUGGAGUUCGUCGCUCAUGAAAACAGAUAUCUUUUUUUCUUAUCGAAUCUCAACAAAAUUUCAUUCGACAAACAAAGCACAAUAUAAAUCCAUUCGAUCACAAUUUUAAAUAUCAUAAAAUUCAUUUCAAAUCAAUAAAAUUUAAAAUUCAAAAUUCAAAAAAUUAUAUCGAUACAUAAUUUCAAUUGAUAACGUAUAAUAUCUUUGAUAGUGACAAUUUCGCACAAUUUUUAUAAUCAUAAAAAGAAUUGAGUAAUAAUAAAACGUAUUUUUGCGAAUAAAUUUAAAGAAAUCAAAAUCUUUGACAAAAGUUUUGAUUAAGAAUACAGGUAAGUUUUGCGUGUCAGGUAUGUAGAAAGGACUACCAAUAGCGACCCCGUCGUGUCUUUCGCCCAAUUGAGAGGUAAGGUUAGUUCUCCCACUCGCAACGGAAAAUAUACUACAAAAGAUAUAUAUCGUUGCCCCGAGUUACCAGCCGGUCGAGUCACGUCGUCGUUUUGACACUGACGAAUUCUUCACGAAACGUUUACAGAGACACAACCACCGGGAAUCAAAUGAUCACACCAUGGCGCGUAGAACCAGCCUACAGGCCAUCUUGAAGCCACCGACAAAGCACACACACAAUAAGCCCCGUCGUAUCAGGCACAUACGGUGUAAGAUCCUCCUAGAAGGACGGAAGACGAUCAAGUGAAUGCUCCGUAAAGUGGCGGCCAUGAUGGCGCCACUUGUCGAACCUUUCAAACUUGAACGAAAUUCGCCUUACAAUACGAUAGUUGAUUUAUUUCGUUGAAUCCGACAUCCUCUAUAAUAUACAACUUUUUUCUUACACGGUUAUACGAAUUAAAAAUUAGAUUUUACAACAAUAUUAUAUUUUGUUUCAAAAAAAUAUUCGAGUGGAAUCAAAUUGAUACUUUGUCGCGCGGUUGUCACGAUGGCGCCACCGACUCAUCACGUGUACGAUGAUUUAGAUAAUAAUUAUCUGCUUUUGUUAACGUAUAAUUGGUUUUUAAAAAUUAAUUUAAAAAGAAAUUAUUAAUUAUUUUAUAAUUGAUAUUGCGAUUCAAUAUGUCACAUAUGGUGUUAAUAAUUUUUCUAAGAUCAAUCAAUAUAUUUUUUUUAAUAAUUAUGACGGUAAUAACGAUACGAUAGUUCAACGAUUAUAAGAAUUGAUCGAUUUUCAUUAAACGACUCACAUGUUUCUGAUAUCUUUCCAUGUAAUUAAAUUGAAAAUUAUUAUUAAUUUAAUUAGAAACUUGUGUCUCGUUUUAAAAUAGAUUAAAGUGUAAAAUAUUUGAAAAGUAUAUAUACCGUGCGAUAUUAAACUAUUAUUAUAUUAAAAAUGUAUUAUCGUUCAUUUAAUAAUAAUUAUAUUAUCAGUA